AAAGGGUGACUAUAGAAAGCAGAGAGAAUCUAUCCAUCGUAUUAACGUAGGUUGCAGUGACAGAGGUGGAAAGCAAUGGAUCCGCUGUCGGCUCUUCGGGAGUUUACGAUGAGAGGGGAGGUAGAGAAGAUAGUGCGUGUCAAUGGUGAGUUCAGAUUUGGGGAGGAGUACACCUUCCCCUGCUGGGUGGAGACAGCUUAUCGUUCCACAAAGGGCAACCGAUACACUCUGGAAACCCUAGUCCACUACAUCAAGAACCACCACCUCAAGCACACCGAGUACAUCCAGAACACCUUCGCCGUCGGCAUCCCCUCCGUUACCCUCCCCGACCGCAAACCCCUUCUCCAGUACCUCCAGGGCACCCUCACCUCUACCGAUUCCAUCGAGUACCGCCCUGAGGACCCCUCCUUCGCCCCCAAAUCCACCCUCCCUUCGCAGACCCAGGUCCACCCUCAGCCCCAGGAACAGCCCGACAAAUUGGACCUCAUCUCUCUCAUCACUUCCGUCGAGAGGCCCUUGAAGGACCGCCAGUCCCUCCUCGAGUGCAAGAAUCGCGACUUCUACAGCGUCCUCGUCUCCGCCACCAAGCGUGAGGAGGACCGCCAGAGGAUGGAGUCGCAGCAGCGGAAGGACGGCCUCGUCGCCAAGAGUCGCUUGAUGACCGCCGAUGACAGGGGUUUAGGGUUUUCCGACGACAUGGGCGGAUACGAUCCCACCCCAAAGCCCAAGAUGCUCUUGAAGGGCACCAAAAUUGGAGAAGGCGUACCCAUUAUCUUGGUCCCCAGUGCCUUUCAGACCCUUAUCACUAUCUACAAUGUGAAGGAGUUCUUGGAGGACGGUGUUUAUAUACCCACUGAUGUGAAGGUGAAGCAGAUGAAAGGUGCCAGGCCCGAUUGCGUCACUGUCCAGAAGAAGCUCAGUAGGGAUAGGGUUGUAACCGCUUAUGAAGUGAGGGAUAAGCCUUCUUCUCUUAAACCCGACGACUGGGAUCGGGUCGUUGCUGUUUUCGUCUUGGGCAAGGAGUGGCAGUUUAAGGACUGGCCUUUCAAGGACCAUGUUGAAAUUUUCAACAAAACAGUUAUUGGAUUUUACAUGCGAUUUGAAGAUGAUAGUUUGGAGUCAGCAAAGAAUGUCAAGCAGUGGAAUGUCAAGAUCAUCUCGAUUAGUAAGAAUAAACGACAUCAAGACAGGGCGGCUGCAUUGGACGUGUGGGAAAGACUAGAAGAAUUUGUUCGCGCACGAUCACGUUCUUGAUUUUUGUACCAUAUUUAGAGUUCAUCCUAUUGACUACCUUGCUUAAGCCGUGGCUUGAGCUGGUUUGAAAAGGAAAUAUAAAUCUCUUAAGCGUGUAAGCCAGGUUUUAUGCCAGCCACCGAGCCGCUUGUUGUAUGAUGGCCAGAAACCUGAGAACAAUCUGAAACAGAUUAAAGAGGACCAUGUAGUAAUUUCUCAAUCAAACAAGGUGGAGGGAAGCUGCUGGGGCGAUAGCAAAGGUAGUUCGUUUGGUUUGGGGCUUAUUCCUCCAUUGCGCUGUAAAUGGGUUUGUGGUUUUAUGGACUCCAGUUGAUUUCUUUGUUUCUGUGCGUGCAUUUUGAAAUGUUACUUGUUUAUCCUGCUUUGAGCGCAUUUCCUGAGACUACGUUAUUCUAUUGUGUAACCAAGCCUUUUUUUUCUUUU